rnacentral:lncRNA from 1 species
AGUGCAGUAUGAAAGGGCCAACCCUUAAGUGCCCAAGUUCAGAGGGAACUAAAAGGGCCCCAAGGCAAGGCUCACAAGAGGAGGGCAGAACUUAAAGACUAAAAAAGUGUGCAAGUGCAGAAUAGAGUGCUAGAAGGGAAAAGGGAUUCAGAGGGGUUGGAACUGAUUGCAGAGAGCCCUUAUGCCUGAGUAUUAAUUGAUUUGGGGAAUGCACAACAAUAGGAGGAUGUUGUUAUGCUCAUAAAACCAACUAGAAUAUACAACACAUAAUGAUAACAAGAGGUUAUGAUCUAAGAGGACCAAGUUUGAGUCAAGGACAACAAUACUUUAAUGCUGUUAUGCCUCAAACAACCAUCAGUGUCAAAAAAACUUAUAAUACACAAUAGAGGCAGAACAUGUAGAAGGAAAAUGCUAACACACAGUGAAUCAAACACAUAAGUAGGCAGCCAAGAGGAAAAAUGUGCUAAAUAAACACAUAGUUAUGAUGUUGAAUCAUAGUUAGAACAUACAAGUUUAGGGAAAGCAAAUAGAGAAAGAAGUAGGCAGCAUGACAUGCAAACAGGCGCAGUACAAGCAGCAAAAACAGUAUUUUUGAGUGUAAGUGUAAGUUCAAAAAACCCAUGAGUGAUUGUAGAAAACUAAGAGUCUUCACGUAUUUAUAAUGUGAAUAGGAAGAAACAGGGUAAAAAAAAACAAUUAUGGAACUAAUUAUAAAUUAAGAAUCAAAACUUCCUUUAAUUAAGGAAAUUCAGAUUCAAACAGUAAAACUAUUUAAGGAAAGAAAUCAAAUAAACAUCUUGUGCAAAGUAGGUCAUUAGGGGUAAAUACAUAGGGGUUUAAAUUAUGGGAAGAAUUUUGAAAUACAUGGUUAAAACAAAGUAAGGUAAGAAUCAAUUAGUACUUAGUAAAUCAAGGAGUCCAAUAUUCUCAGUUACUGGUUUGUGAGUAAACUAAGUCAAUAAGGUUGAGGAAAGUUUUCGAAUCAAACCAAGUAACAGGGAAUCAGCAAACAAGGUAAGAAAAUCAAUUAGACUUGCACAAAGGAAGUCUAAAAUUAUUCAAAAAAAAAUUGAAAGUCAUUUAGAGGGAAGUUCAGCACAUAUAAAGAGUACAACAGUAUUGGGCAUGUAAGGUAAAUUUAGGAUAAGGAAAAACAUUGUAUAUUAGCAACCACAAGUAGUCACAUAGGUCGAUUUCAGAUACUCAGUAACAGAGAAGAGAAAGUAUCAGAUAACAUGCCAAAAGGUCAAGUAAAAGUCAUAUAGAGUUUAACAAAGUCAGAAUCAUAUGACGAAAAAAACUUGAAGAAAUUAUUUUAAAACUUAGUGAAAUAGUAGAUGAAACAAAUCCAGGAACUCAAAUAAGUCCAAAAGAUUAGGGUCUUUGAAAUCAAGCAAGUUCAGCGAUGAAGCACAAAGAAAAUCACAUAGCUAAUGGUCUCAAAACUCAGAUGAAACCCAAUAAUCUAGGGUUUUGCCAUCAAUCGAGUGUAGAGAUGAAAGGACAAGUAAAUCAAGCAGCAAUACUAAAAAAAUAAUGUCAAAAAUCUCAAAAGCGAACUAAGACUCUUAGCAUGCACAUUCUAGUAGAAGAACAUAAGAAACCAGUAGAAAAACAACAUAAGAAACACGGUAGAAGAAUCAACAUAAGAGACACAGUAGAACAUGUUAAAGGAACACAAUAGAAAAAUAAACAUAAGAAACAUAUUAGAACAUGCUAAAGAUCAGAGAAACCUUUAAAUAAAUUAACAAAACCCUAGAUUGGAAAAGAUAAAGGUUUUUGAAAAUACGGUAUUGAAAGAAACUUUGGGAAAACGUUUGAAAGCUUAGGGUAAGCACAAAUUCACAACGGAUCUAAAAGAAUCAGAAAAACCUCAAAUGUUAGGGUUUCUGAAUAAACCCAGAGGUUGAGAAAGUCUUGAAAAUCAUCGAUCUAAGCAGCAGAGGUCGAGAUCGGGAUCGAAUAACUAUGGCUGGUCGGAGUAAUGUAGGAGACAAUCAUAGAACUCGAGUCGAACAAAUUUUGGGCCCAACUUCCUUCAAGGCCUGACCUUGAAACCAUAGUAACAAGGCAUGUAGGAGUCGUAGGAAGCACGUACAUGCUCUUAAUGGCUUUGGAAGCCAUAUAUUCAGGAGACUUUGGUGUGGAGGUGGAAAGAGGCGGCUAGGGUUUCUGAGGGAGCUUGAGAGAGAAUUAGGGAAAAAGGGGGUUCAAGG